rnacentral:rRNA from 1 species
GGGUUGUGAGGUUAAGCGACUAAGCGUACACGGUGGAUGCCCUGGCAGUCAGAGGCGAUGAAGGACGUGCUAAUCUGCGAUAAGCGUCGGUAAGGUGAUAUGAACCGUUAUAACCGGCGAUUUCCGAAUGGGGAAACCCAGUGUGAUUCGUCACACUAUCAUUAACUGAAUCCAUAGGUUAAUGAGGCGAACCGGGGGAACUGAAACAUCUAAGUACCCCGAGGAAAAGAAAUCAACCGAGAUUCCCCCAGUAGCGGCGAGCGAACGGGGAGSAGCCCAGAGCCUGAAUCAGUGUGUGUGUUAGUGGAAGCGUCUGGAAAGGCGCGCGAUACAGGGUGACAGCCCCGUACACAAAAAUGCACAURCUGUGAGCUCGAUGAGUAGGGCGGGACACGUGGUAUCCUGUCUGAAUAUGGGGGGACCAUCCUCCAAGGCUAAAUACUCCUGACUGACCGAUAGUGAACCAGUACCGUGAGGGAAAGGCGAAAAGAACCCCGGCGAGGGGAGUGAAAAAGAACCUGAAACCGUGUACGUACAAGCAGUGGGAGCACGCUUCGGCGUGUGACUGCGUACCUUUUGUAUAAUGGGUCAGCGACUUAUAUUCUGUAGCAAGGUUAACCGAAUAGGGGAGCCGAAGGGAAACCGAGUCUUAACUGGGCGUUAAGUUGCAGGGUAUAGACCCGAAACCCGGUGAUCUAGCCAUGGGCAGGUUGAAGGUUGGGUAACACUAACUGGAGGACCGAACCGACUAAUGUUGAAAAAUUAGCGGAUGACUUGUGGCUGGGGGUGAAAGGCCAAUCAAACCGGGAGAUAGCUGGUUCUCCCCGAAAGCUAUUUAGGUAGCGCCUCGUGAAUUCAUCUCCGGGGGUAGAGCACUGUUUCGGCAAGGGGGUCAUCCCGACUUACCAACCCGAUGCAAACUGCGAAUACCGGAGAAUGUUAUCACGGGAGACACACGGCGGGUGCUAACGUCCGUCGUGAAGAGGGAAACAACCCAGACCGCCAGCUAAGGUCCCAAAGUCAUGGUUAAGUGGGAAACGAUGUGGGAAGGCCCAGACAGCCAGGAUGUUGGCUUAGAAGCAGCCAUCAUUUAAAGAAAGCGUAAUAGCUCACUGGUCGAGUCGGCCUGCGCGGAAGAUGUAACGGGGCUAAACCAUGCACCGAAGCUGCGGCAGCGACACUAUGUGUUGUUGGGUAGGGGAGCGUUCUGUAAGCCUGUGAAGGUGURCUGUGAGGYAUGCUGGAGGUAUCAGAAGUGCGAAUGCUGACAUAAGUAACGAUAAAGCGGGUGAAAAGCCCGCUCGCCGGAAGACCAAGGGUUCCUGUCCAACGUUAAUCGGGGCAGGGUGAGUCGACCCCUAAGGCGAGGCCGAAAGGCGUAGUCGAUGGGAAACAGGUUAAUAUUCCUGUACUUGGUGUUACUGCGAAGGGGGGACGGAGAAGGCUAUGUUGGCCGGGCGACGGUUGUCCCGGUUUAAGCGUGUAGGCUGGUUUUCCAGGCAAAUCCGGAAAAUCAAGGCUGAGGCGUGAUGACGAGGCACUACGGUGCUGAAGCAACAAAUGCCCUGCUUCCAGGAAAAGYCUCUAAGCAUCAGGUAACAUCAAAUCGUACCCCAAACCGACACAGGUGGUCAGGUAGAGAAUACCAAGGCGCUUGAGAGAACUCGGGUGAAGGAACUAGGCAAAAUGGUGCCGUAACUUCGGGAGAAGGCACGCUGAUAUGUAGGUGAAGCGACUUGCUCGUGGAGCUGAAAUCAGUCGAAGAUACCAGCUGGCUGCAACUGUUUAUUAAAAACACAGCACUGUGCAAACACGAAAGUGGACGUAUACGGUGUGACGCCUGCCCGGUGCCGGAAGGUUAAUUGAUGGGGUUAGCGGUAACGCGAAGCUCUUGAUCGAAGCCCCGGUAAACGGCGGCCGUAACUAUAACGGUCCUAAGGUAGCGAAAUUCCUUGUCGGGUAAGUUCCGACCUGCACGAAUGGCGUAAUGAUGGCCAGGCUGUCUCCACCCGAGACUCAGUGAAAUUGAACUCGCUGUGAAGAUGCAGUGUACCCGCGGCAAGACGGAAAGACCCCGUGAACCUUUACUAUAGCUUGACACUGAACAUUGAGCCUUGAUGUGUAGGAUAGGUGGGAGGCUUUGAAGUGUGGACGCCAGUCUGCAUGGAGCCGACCUUGAAAUACCACCCUUUAAUGUUUGAUGUUCUAACGUUGRCCCGUKAUCCGGGUUGCGGACAGUGUCUGGUGGGUAGUUUGACUGGGGCGGUCUCCUCCUAAAGAGUAACGGAGGAGCACGAAGGUUGGCUAAUCCUGGUCGGACAUCAGGAGGUUAGUGCAAUGGCAUAAGCCAGCUUGACUGCGAGCGUGACGGCGCGAGCAGGUGCGAAAGCAGGUCAUAGUGAUCCGGUGGUUCUGAAUGGAAGGGCCAUCGCUCAACGGAUAAAAGGUACUCCGGGGAUAACAGGCUGAUACCGCCCAAGAGUUCAUAUCGACGGCGGUGUUUGGCACCUCGAUGUCGGCUCAUCACAUCCUGGGGCUGAAGUAGGUCCCAAGGGUAUGGCUGUUCGCCAUUUAAAGUGGUACGCGAGCUGGGUUUAGAACGUCGUGAGACAGUUCGGUCCCUAUCUGCCGUGGGCGCUGGAGAACUGAGGGGGGCUGCUCCUAGUACGAGAGGACCGGAGUGGACGCAUCACUGGUGUUCGGGUUGUCAUGCCAAUGGCACUGCCCGGUAGCUAAAUGCGGAAGAGAUAAGUGCUGAAAGCAUCUAAGCACGAAACUUGCCCCGAGAUGAGUUCUCCCUGACUCCYUGAGAGUCCUGAAGGAACGUUGAAGACGACGACGUUGAUAGGCCGGGUGUGUAAGCGCAGCGAUGCGUUGAGCUAACCGGUACUAAUGAACCGUGAGGCUUAACCUUACAACGCCGAAGMUGUU